rnacentral:rRNA from 1 species
CGUAGGGUCCAAGCGUUAUCCGGAAUCACUGGGCGUAAAGCGUGCGUAGGUGGCGUGUUAAGUGAAAAUGUUAAAUCGUGUGGCUCAACCAUAUCGAUGCAUCUCAUACUGGCAUGCUAGAGGACAGCAGAGGCAAGUGGAAUUACGAGUGUAGCAGUGAAAUGCGUAGAUAUUCGUAGGAACACCAAUGGCGAAGGCAGCUUGCUGGGCUACUCCUGACACUGAGGUACGAAAGCGUGGGGAGCGAACAGGAUUAGAUACCCUGGUAGUCCACGCCGUAAACGAUGCAUACUAGUCUUAUGGGGUAUCGACCCCCUGUGAGACGAAGCUAACGCGAUAAGUAUGCCGCCUGGGAAGUACGGCCGCAAGGCUA